AACAGCCUGGACUAACAAAGGCUCACUGUGCUUUACAUGAUGAAGAAGGCAUGCAUUUCUGCACGUUCUGCUAAUACAAAAUGAUGUGAUUUUCAAAAGAUAAAAAUGUAUUUACCUUUGGCAGGCUUUGGCAUGCAUGGGUAUCAUUUUGACAUUACUUCUGUGCAAUGGAAAUGUUGAAGGAGAAUCAGAGGCUUGUGUUAAGAAACAUAUGUACAAUCUGAAAAUUCCUCCUUCUUUUGGUGACUUAUCGAUACCUGAGAUUGGGCAGAAAUUUUUAGCCUUCAGGUGAAUUGGCUAAAAAGUGGAUCAUUGUGAAGUUAAAAAUGCUACCAAUCAUGUUAGCCAAGUCCUUAGUGCUGUGAUGGCAUUAGCUUUAAUAAUUUGUCAUGCUUGCUGUCAGACGUUGACGUGCGUUCAUAUCUAAGACCCCUCACAAAUGCCACCUUCUUUCUUUGUAAAGACUUUCCUAAUUCCUCCCAGCUUCUCAUCUGUCUAGAUCUCUAUAAAGACAACGUAUUUGUUGAAUGAGUUAUUUACUGCCAUAUUAUGCAUAUCUUUCCAGGGUGUUGUAUUAUGUUCCUAUUGUUGCCAUAAGAAAUUACCAAAAGCAAAACAAAAUGAAACAACAACAACAAAACAACAACUUGUGGCUUAAAACAACAACAUUAAAAAACAACUUCCUACCUCAGUUAUGCAGGUCAGAAGUUUAGGGCUCAUAUGAUUACAAUGGUCCCUCCUUCAUAAUCUGGAUAAGCCCCCGAUUUUAAAAUCAACUGAUGAGUAAGCUUAAUUCCAUCUCCAAUGUCACAGCGGUGAGCAAAACUCCCUUUGGCUCCAAUUAAAAAGAUGUGCUCCAACACCACAGGGACUAAGAUGAGUUUUCAACUUUCCUGCUCUUGGUCCCCAGAGAUGGACUUACAUCCAAGGAGUUAGGCUCCUGUGAAUCCUACAAAGCCGAGGCUGCUGACCAGAGCACUCAUUCAAGUUAUCUGAGUGGGAUGAUCAAAUUUUUGAAGAUUUCUCUGUGAGAGAUUUCCUAUUAGUUCCAAUCCACACUGAUGACCUAGGAAGAUGCCAGCAAGAAAGAAUUAAGCACAUUUGAUGGAUUGCAGAAAUGACACCCCAGUCUUUAUUUCUUGGAGACUAAUGGAACACGUUAAGCACCCCUAGAUGUCUUAAUCUCUACCCUAAAGGAAAAUGUGUUGGGUGAAAUAUGUCCACAAUAAAUAUGUAGAAACUUAGUCUACAAAGAUUGCGUGAUUUUAUUUUGGGGACUCCUUUGACAUAUUGGGGUAUUCCUAUGGUAAGUAACUUGAAAAGGGUACCUCAGAUCAGCUUUCUGUUUACUGCAUCAAUGUCAGUGGGAUAAAUGAAAAGAUGGCUUACUUUAGGUCUUAGACCUCUGCAGCACUGGUAAAAGAAAAUGUAUAUGACUAUCAGGAUGGUCUCUUUUUUUGUUUUUUUGAAUGUUUCAUCUGUUCACAAAGUAAUAUGUAUUCAUGCAGUCCCGGGACUGCCCAGAUUCCUUCCCUUUAAUGCUUGUAGUAAGGAGCAUCCAUUCCUGAACUUUUAGUGACUUUUUCUUUCUCUGCUUUUGAUUUUCUAAUGAAAUGGAUUCAUCUGUUUUUCUCAUUCAUGUGAGUUCUAAGAUGACAGAAGGUAAUCAGAUAAGCAAAUUCACCUUACUGAUGAUCAGUAAAGUCUUAACAUAGGUCAUUGAUACACUUACCCCAAUACUAGAAAAGGUAAUAUUAAGGUAAUAUUAAGUUCCCAUUGUGGCUCAGUGGAAAUGAA